AUAAAAAUACUGAGUACGUCAGUAUGUACACUUUUAUAAUUUCCGCGCAAAAAGGAGACGACGUUUAGUGCAUUUGCUGUACGAUGGUUACAUUCCUGUCUUGCGAACGUGGCAUUAAAGUUUGACGGAACAUACGUAACCUGAAAAAUAAAAAUUCCGGCACUUGGCCCCUGGAGGGAAUAAAGGCAAAUAACGAACGUGGAGAGGAAAAGGGGGAAUUCAAUGUUGGUUAUAUAUAUACACAUGUAUGAGUACGUCAUUUGGAUAUACAUCUUAUUUUCGAGGGACGAUGCUUACAGGAAUGUUAGAAAAUCAUUUAUUUUGUUAGAUAUUCAAGAUUUUCACGUAACCUUUCCAAAAAGGUCUGCUUUUCCUUUUUAUUUCUUCUUUUUUUUCGUGUUACGUACGUCCACUCAGCUUUACGCAGGCAUAUGUACCUAUGUCGACGAUCUUUAGAUGACGCUCUGGAAUUCUCACUCGUGUCCCAGCGUCUCGACGUCUCGAGGGGCGUCUUAGUCCCAUUAGAUAUAUCCCAGCCUCCCUUGAGAAAGAGCGGGACAUUAUCUUCACCGGGUUUAAUUGUCCUGGUACAAUUAAGCCGUGUUUUAUUAACGCUGAGGGAGCCUGGGAAAGAAAGAGUAUAAGUACCACCGAGCGCCGCGAGAUGGACAGACGGCACUGACACAUGCGACACACGAGACACUCUGUACCCGAAAUAAUCUUGAGAAACGCGUAAAUCAGUCCUUUUUAAUUAAAACGCAGUCUACCAUUACCGCGAACGUCACGACGUAUCCUUUCUUACUCUCCACGUGAUUCCUCUUGUUUACUUGGUCACUUGUAGUUACGUGCCGACAUAACCUCACUUCUCGCGGACGCACAAUUAUUUCGUUUAAUUUCUCUCACUGCCUUUCUCAGCGUCUCUAACUAUGCUUUGGUACUUGUGGUUAGCAACUUUAAUGAUCUACAACUGUAUGUAAGUGCCCAUUGCACUGUUUACGGUAGCUGUUACUCUGCCAGACGAAUACAAGGCCUUUGACAGGUAAGAGAUCGAAUGAAAUUUAUUUAGUUAGUUUAUACGAGGACGAGAUUUCUUGCAAAGUAUUUGACUGUUCGAUUAAUUAUUUAUUAUCAGCGCCUCUAACGGCUAUUCUUGUAACUUCGAUCGUCAUUCUCCGCUUCUCUGUGAGAAAUUUUGCGAUUUCUUUUAGAACUCGUCGAUUUCGCUCGGGAGUCGUGCGAUUAUUACAAAUUAGAUAACGUGGUUGUGCGAUUGCGUAAAAGUAUCCGAAUAAAGAAAAAAGAAAUAUAAAUGUUGCUAUCUCGUUAAAAAUAGUCCAGUAGCUUAGAGCGUGACACGCGAUAAUAACAACAAUCAGGGUGUGCGGCUUCUGAAGUGAAAUUAUGUAAAAUUCUUCGAAAUUAACAAUCGCCCGUGAUUUAUCGUCAUCGUUAUUGUUUUAAGCCCUUUUGUAUACGGUGACCAUCAAAAUGAGAUUACUCCUGGCGAUGCUGCGCGAUCCUGAAUCUUUUUUCCCCUUUUCUUUCCUAUCUUCUUCCUUUUGGCUUCCGUGACCUUCGGAGUCGACUAUAAGCACAAGCGUAGCACGUUUCUCAGAUUAAUAUCUAAAAAGGUCGUGUAACCUGUAACACCUUCUUCUUGGCUAUCCCAGGAUCCCUGGUGAACCUGUUCCUCUCUCACGUGGAUGGGACACUAAGAGAUAGACUAUAUACAUUUCAGGAAUGCCAACUGCCGAGUAAAAGCCAAGGAGAACUCGGCUCAGUUAGGUUAUAAUGAGUCUAGUAAUGUUGUCGGUAAUUCAUCUUUUUUUCUUUUUCUUUUUUUUUUCUUUUUCCUUAUUCACCAGAGACAAAAUUCCAGCGAGAUGAUUUUACCUAGAAAAAAAAAGUAACAUAAAUCCAUCGGAUCGUGGGGUCUCGAUCCCAAAGCAUCCGCGGAAUGUUCCUCAAGCGCUGUGAAGUUUCGAUCACGAUCUACGUGUACACUUUCGAUCUCUCGAAACGGGAUCUUGACGAUGUUUAAGGUUAAAAGGCCAGUGAGAGACAUAUUUUUAAAAAAAUAUUGAUCGAUUCGCUUUUGAAAAUUACACUACGGCUUCCUCCACUGCUUCACCGUAACAAAUUGAUAUACACCGAAUCGUGUUUCGCGCGGGACCAAAAUUUAUUGGUUCGAUCGUCCGGUUCUAUGAUUAAUUUUUUUUUAAUUCGUUUUGCAAUGCGUUGAUAUUCUUAUAGGUGUAUGUAUAUCGUCGCCUUGAUACGAGUCAACCAGGGCAAUCGAGAUCUCUCGCGACUUGUGCAUUCUUGUCGCAUUUAAAUAUUGAUUAAUGUACCUGACAAACAGGCCCACUUUUCAAGUCGCUGCACUUUUCGGCUACGCCCACGUUCAACGUGACUCUGUCUUGUCUAGGCUUUUUACGGGCUUUUACGGUUCGAGCAUAAAUCAACCUGGGACACGUUUCAUGUGUGUAUACGUGUAUCUACCAGUGGUGGGUUACACGACAUUGUUACGUAUUUACCAUAAUGGUUGGACAAAUCGCGAAAGUAGAUCUUUUUCGCUUUAAUAUUUCGGGUCUGAAUUGUAAGCUAUCGAAUUGUAUGGUGCGGAGGAAUUAGAAUUGUUUCGAUCGCGUGAAUUAAUUGAUUGAAUUCAAGGGGAGGAAUAGAGGAAACAUUUGGGUGAGUGGGUGGGGACUGACGUAAUGAAAAAAAAAAUUAUUUUUAGAACGUUAAUUUUAUUCAUUAUUUAGAUGAGAAUUUUUGAAAAUAUAUAGACUAUUUAUAGUUUUAGCCUAUAGUGUAUAGUAUAAACAUAUAAGUAGUGUGCUGUAUAUUGAAAUUUUGUUUAAUUUAUUUUUUAUAGUCUUCGUCAUAUAAUUGUCCUGAUAACAGUAUUUGCUAGUUCUCAAUAGGUUUGCUAAUUUCUUUUAUUACAUUACCAGGGCAGUUUCUAAAUUAUUCUUACGACCGGUUUAUGCUUUAUUGUUGCGGUAAACACCCGUAAUAAAUCUCAUUAUUGUAUACAGUUUUGCUUUGUUCAGUAAACAUUCAAUAUGGACGUGCUAUUUAAGAGGCCACGGAUAUUUUCAACGAGUGCUUAUCGGUAUGCAGUCGCAAAACGAUUGGUGAACAUGAAAAGCAGCCACUUAAAGGAGAAUCGAUGUUUUAUAUAUAUGUGUAUACAUAUAUACUAUAUAUACACUCGCUGCGAUACAAAAAAGUAAAAAUGAACAGUCCGAGUACACAAUAAGGAUUUCUUGGAAGAGGGACUAUAAUACAUUUUGUCUCUUAAUGGCGAAAGAGGACCCAUUAACCAUUACACAAUUAUACUCUCGCGCCUCCGCCAUCUCUGUUCCACAAACAUUGAGACACAGGAACCGUAUCGAUUUAACCAACAAAAAUACAUUAUCCUAUUAGAAAUAUAUACGUUUUCCGCAAUCGACAUCGUUUCGGUUUCCACAUGGGUAAGUGUUAAAAAAAAUGUCGAAAUAUCUUUUAUAGCUAUUUGUCAAGUGCUGCCAAUAUAUCAAACGUACACGUCAUAAAGUACGCGCGUAGAUAAUUCACGUGAAAUCCAUUAUCAAAUGACACGAUGAUCGUUACUCCAUUUUGCUAUUAGCACCCUGACUAUUUCGUCAAGAUCUAUAGAAGUACUUUCGAUGAUUCUCGGAAGGCAGCGCUGAUGUGCGCAUGCGCGCAGACGCUAUUGUCCGAACUGCCAGACUUCGCUAUUGGGUAAUCUAAUAGAGCUAAAAAGAUCGUUACGUGUCUUGUGCAAAUGAAGUAGCGCGAUUCUUUUUUUUUUUCUUGUUAAUCUGCGGAUAAUAAUAGAACGGAGUGUUAAGUGGAAUCCGGGAAUUUGUCGAUUAUCUUACUUUACCGGAUCAACGUAACAAUGGCGGCCUACGUGCGGGUGGGCGUUCGAGGACUCGACCUAACCUAAUCGGCCGUACAUUAAAUAUUCCCGAGCAAGGAAAACUGGUUCGCUCCGGUGAGGCCUAGAAAGUGAUACAUAACGCGUCAUUAGCAUACCUUACGAUCUAUAAAGUUAAUGGCUCUGGGCGUCCUUUCUCGUGACAGGAAGAAGAAACAGCUUCGUUGAAUCGAAAUUGCAAUGUGAAUGUGCAACCCAUGGGGAUGGUGACACACCGAAUAAGUGCUCCAGUGUCGUAUGACUUUAUGGACAAAGAUAACCGUCUACAUGGAUACGAAAACUUUUUUGUCUACAAGAGCCGGAACAGAAAUGCAUAAACAGAACGGCGGGGUCCUUUCAAAAAUUAUAAUCAACUUUACUUUUCAACUUGAAUGUGCAAUUUACGUGGAUGAUAUAUGGAAUGGUCGCAUGCCACGAGAGGUGGAAAAAGAGGGCACGAAAAGGUGGAGGCACGAAUUACGUUCCAGAGUGUUUCUUUGCGAUUGCAUAAAGGCUGACGGAGGAUGGGACGGUGCAAAAGAAAGAAACGGCAGAAACAGGAAAGAAAAUGACAGCGACUACUUACGAGGCAGUGUAGCGUAGUGACAUAAGGGUAUUCCUGCGACAUACCGAAGGAUACCAGCAUACCAAUGGACACGUAAGGGACCCAAAGGUUUUUAAAGGAUGAGAAGCAAUAAUUACCCUCCGGCCCUGUAGAGGUUAAUGUGCUUGAUAUGAAGAGCGCUCUGACCGGAUCAUAAUAAAUGGCUAUCGAAGACGCCGAUAUGAU